rnacentral:rRNA from 1 species
GACGAACGCUGGCGGCGUGCUUAACACAUGCAAGUCGAACGGAAAGGCCCUGCUUUUGUGGGGUGCUCGAGUGGCGAACGGGUGAGUAACACGUGAGUAACCUGCCCUUGACUUUGGGAUAACUUUAGGAAACUGGGGCUAAUACCGGAUAGGAGCUCCUGCUGCAUGGUGGGGGUUGGAAAGUUUCGGCGGUUGGGGAUGGACUCGAGGCUUAUCAGCUUGUUGGUGGGGUAGUGGUUUACCAAGGUUUUGACGGGUAGCCGGCCUGGGAGGGUGGCCAGCCACAUUGGUACUGAGAGACGGCCCAGACGCCUACGGGAGGCAGCAGUGGGGAAUAUUGCACAAUGGGCGGAAGCCUGAUGCAGCAGCGCCGCGUGCGGGAUGACGGCCUUCGGGUUGUAAACCGCUUUCGCCUGUGACGAAGCGUGAGUGACGGUAAUGAGUAAAGAAGCACCGGCUAACUACGUG